rnacentral:rRNA from 1 species
UACGGAGGGUGCGAGCGUUGUUCGGAUUCAUUGGGCGUAAAGGGUGCGUAGGUGGCGGGGUAAGUCAGGUGUGAAAUCUCGAGGCUCAACCUCGAAACUGCACUUGAUACUGCCUUGCUCGAGUACUGGAGAGGAGAUUGGAAUUUACGGUGUAGCAGUGAAAUGCGUAGAUAUCGUAAGGAAGACCAGUGGCGAAGGCGAAUCUCUGGACAGUUACUGACACUGAGGCACGAAGGCCAGGGGAGCAAACGGG